CUGCACGAAGCCGGAAUCGCUAGUAAUCGCAGAUCAGAAUGCUGCGGUGAAUACGUUCCCGGGUCUUGUACACACCGCCCGUCACACCAUGGGAGUCGGAAAUGCCCGAAGUCAGUGGCCCAACCGGAAGGAGGGAGCUGCCGAAGGCAGGUCCGGUGACUGGGGUGAAGUCGUAACAAGGUACC
rnacentral:rRNA from 1 species